rnacentral:tRNA from 1 species
UGCAUGUUGGCCGAGUGGUUUAAAGCGUCGAUCUGCUAAAUCGAAGAUAUUUUUUUAGAUAUCCAUGGGUUCAAAUCCCAUACAUGUGA